UACAGAGGUCCCAAGCGUUGUUCGGAAUCAUUGGGCGUAAAGCGCACGUAGGCGGCUUGCCAAGUCGGACGUGAAAUCCCUCAGCUCAACUGAGGACGUGCAUCCGAAACUGGCGAGCUUGAGUACUGAAGAGGAUCGCGGAAUUCCCGGUGUAGAGGUGAAAUUCGUAGAUAUCGGGAGGAACACCAGUGGCGAAGGCGGCGAUCUGGGCAGAUACUGACGCUGAGGUGCGAAAGCGUGGGGAGCAAACAGG
rnacentral:rRNA from 1 species